rnacentral:lncRNA from 10 species
UUCCGGGAAAACAAGCCCAGAAGGCGGCGGACACUCGCAUAAAGUCACGCAGUAGUACUCGGAGCCCGGGGUAGAACCUGGACUUCAAAUCUCUGCACUCCCGGCCGGGUGGUGGGCGCAUAUCCUGGGUAGCCUCUAGGAAGCGCUAGACACAUGGAACCAAGGCAGAUUCAGCCUGGCAGCUGGCAAGUCAUGGAGCACUGCCUGUCCAUCUGCGAGCUAACAACAGUCGCGCUGGAAGUCAACAAGGGAAAUGGAAAGGGAGAGACCCAGCCUCCACAGGGGCUCACGCCCUGGGACCUGUGCCAGUGUGAACAAGGUUUUCCGGCCCCAGGAAGCAGGCCUAAGUACUCUCAUUUCAUCACUGAGGAGCCUGAGACGUUCAGUCAUUGAUUGGACAGCCCUCACCAUUCAAGCCCUCCUUGGUUUACAGCAGCAGAAAGAGAGGCUCUGAAGGUUCUAGCCAGAGGAAGCUGCAGCCAGGCCUGGCAGUCUCCCCUGCUCCCUUCCACCAGCUUGGUUCCUGUUUCUGCUGGUCCUGGGAGCCCCCAGCAGAUGGACUGCCCUUAUCAGCCGGCUCCAGGCCAGAGGAGGAAUCCUCCGGUCACGUGUGGCUCUCUGGAGGGAGAGAGACCUCAUAAAUACAUACAGCCCACGCAGAGGAAGGGGGGAGGGUCAAGGGGAAAGAAACCUUGACAUUCUGGCGACUGGGCCAGGAUUAAAGUCCACCAGGCAUAGUCCUUAUUGGCUAUUUCUAUGAGGAAUCUCAAAUCCACAUGGCUUCCCUGGAUGACAACGCUGACUUUGACUAGCCCUGGGAUCUGGGGCAUUCCCAGUGUGCUGCUGGCUUGAUCCAGGCCUAAUCCUUUGCCCAGGACUGACCUUUCACAGUUUACAGAGCACUUUAUCUCCUGGCUCAGUGAAGUCUCACAGAACCCUCCAGAGAGAAGGGAGUUUAUCAUCACCCUCAAUUUACAGAUGAGGAAGCUGAGGCUGCGAUUGUAACUGACUGACUGCUGGCUACGCAGCUACAAGUGACCGAGUCCAGCCUGAAAGCCACAUAUAUUCUCCCACAAAAUCCAGAGCUGCCAAACACAUCCUCCUCCAUGAGUCUUGCUUUGUG